rnacentral:lncRNA from 1 species
GUGAAUAUGAGCAUAGCAAUACUACCAAUGUCAAAGGAGUUUAAUUGGAACAGUGCUACCGUGGGUCUAAUUCAAUCUUCUUUCUUCUGGGGCUAUUUGCUCACUCAGGUUGCGCAUUUAGGUAUGUGAGGAUAUAGAAGGGGGUGUCAAGAAAAUAACAUAUUGUAUUGGACUCUGCUUCUGUAACGGGUAAAAAUGCACUUAUGACGCCGCAUGAUCCAACCAUAAAGUUUGUUGUAGGUACUUUGUUUGUGUAGCUGGGACAUUAAGAUGCUUUUUGUAUGAAAAAAACAUGCAGCUGUUAUUUUUUUCUUUUCUUCAGUUCAAACUGUUUUGUUAAUUGUGUUUGCUAAAGAGACUUCUCCAACACCGAGAAUUCUCAUGCCGCGACUACACAGGCAGGCGAGAUGCCGAGAUCUCAUCUUGCGCCAACAUUGAAAACUCAAAGAGCACUCUUCUUUGGUGACUAAACAUGUGCUUCUUCUCUUUGUACAGAUGGGUUACCCUUUGUAUCUGUGCGACUGUGCUUGAAGACCGAUGUGGGAUGGAAAAAAAUAUACACUUUGUAUGUGCUUAUUCAUUUUAUGCUUAAGCUGUAGUUUUAUUUUUAAUGUUCUCUGAAUUUUUGUUUGUUAAUUCUA